ensembl:lncRNA uncharacterized LOC110070559
AUGGAUUUUACUAUUGCAGUCCCUACGCUAGCUUUGCUCUGCGCUGUGUUCCAACCAGCAGCAUCUUCAGGUCUGCAGACCCCCAAACUUACGAUCCAGCCCAACCACCCUGAGUAUUUUGAAGGGGAGAGGAUUGAGCUCAUUUGCUCAGCUUCCCAAAACAGGACGGUGGAAGGAUACAGGUUCUUCGAUCCAGAUGAGCGGAUGAUCCACAAAAUGGCCGCCAGCCCUUAUCAAAAGGGGAAGCUGCCUCUCACGCUUCAGAUGAACAGCACUGGGAAUUAUUUCUGUGAUUACUGGAUGGAAGAAAGUGGAGAAGCCACGUCAGGACCAAGCAACGCCACUUUCAUCCGUGUAAAUGAGGCCCCUGCUGCUCCCUCUCUCUCUGUGCAUCCCGAACUCCCUGCAUACAACUUGGGAGACUCCAUCACCCUUUCAUGUUCAGCCCCACUGGGAGCAAAGGAAGUCAAGCAAUUCCAAUAUUACAGUGACUUGAUGUGUGUAUCAGCCAUGGCACUGCAUGACAAUGUCUAUAGGUACAACUUGAGUAUCAUGGAGUCCACGGACAUGGGGGUCUUCAGAUGCGCCUAUCUGGUGCACCUUUCUGGGCGAAACGUACUUUCCAAGAAGAGUGAACCAGUCUCCAUUGAAGGGCUAGGAGUCAGAUGGAAAUGGAUGUUGGCUGUUGGGGGGUCCUUCUUCACCAUCAACACCCUUAUCUUCCUAAUCUCCCACUGCUUUUUUUAAACCACAGACCACUGCAACCUCCUCCAUUUCGAAGGGUUCCAGUCAGUGAAGGAGCCCUCUCUACUAGACUUGAAUCCCCAGUGUCUUCAGCAGAAAAAAAAAACUCAUACACGUUGCCUGAAAAAAGACAGGCACAUACUUGGAAAUAAGGCAGCUUGGACAUCUAAGAAAUGCAUAAGCUUCAGAGAAGAGCUUGGGGAAAAAUACUUUUGUAGACCACAGCUCCCACCCACCGUGGUGUCAAUUCUCCUUUCGCUUGUUGGAGGGUCUACCCAGGCCAUCAAUUCUUCCAGAGUUCACUAUGGCAGGUGGCCACCAAACAGAGGCAUGGAAAGCGACCACGAGGAACCACGUCUUUUCGAUGGUAGCCACGACACUUUGAAACAUGUCGAUACACACAGACUCCUUCCCUCUUGAUCUUCGGGAAGCAUGUUAAAGCCAAGCAUUUCCAGGAGGCCUUUGAGAACAUGCUCCUCUUAUGACAGACCACCUGGGGAUUUUUCUGUUAAUAUUAUGUUGUUUUUAGGCAUCGUGGAUAGCUGGAGGUUUUCGUCCGCUGUAAACUGACCAGAAUGAUGGCUUGCCACUAGAUGGGUGACAUAUUUACUUAUAACAGAGAAAGAAGCAAAGAAUUCAGGCAGCACUAUGGAGUACAAAAUGGUUCUAACCUGGUUCUUAACAUAUGAAGCAGUCAAGGAGCUGAGCCUGGAAAAAUCUGUUGUGGUUGUUCCCACAUGUGAAUUUGGGGUGGGGGUGGGGGACUGUAAUGUUCUUUCCAUCCUAUGUAUGAAGAAAUCUGAGAACUUUACUUAUUUUUUAAAAACUGGAAUAGAAUUCUCACGCUUUCCCUAAAUUUCAUCUUGUCGAUAUUUCUCCUUCUUUCCAAAUUUUCUAUAGCCACCCCAUCGGAUCGCUCAGUGGACCAUCCAAAAUGACCCCAAUUUUGACAAAAAGGCUGCAUCUUGGUUUCUCACAGGUCCCUAUUUUUUAUUUUUUUAUUUUUAUUUUAUUUUUUGCUGCUGCUGUUGUUAGAGUUGCUUUUAGAUCUCUUCUUCGGAUGACCAAUACCUCUUUGGUAUUCACUUUGCCAGCUUAUUUCCGGUGAGACAAGAACCGCUUGAAAGAAUUCAUGGAAAAACCUGCACAGAUAUUGCCUUUACCAAUAAACUACCCAACAAGAAUAGAAAAUAAAUUAUU